rnacentral:rRNA from 1 species
GGCCGUCCGAGUUGUAAUCUGGAGAAGCGUUUUCAGUGCCGGCCCGCGUACAAGUCCCCUGGAACGGGGCGUCGCAGAGGGUGAGAAUCCCGUCUCUGACGCGGUCAUGUCCGGCACGUUGCGAUGCGCUCUCGAAGAGUCGAGUUGUUUGGGAAUGCAGCUCAAAACGGGUGGUAAAUUCCAUCUAAAGCUAAAUACUGGCGAAAGACCGAUAGCGAACAAGUACCGUGAGGGAAAGAUGAAAAGCACUUUGGAAAGAGAGUCAAACAGUACGUGAAAUUGUUGAAAGGGAAACGCUUGAAGUCAGUCGCGUCUCUCGGGACUCAGUCGCGCCCCCCCUCAAAGGGGGCGCGGCGUACUUCCCGAGUCUGGACGGGCCAGCGUCGAUUUCGACCGUCGUACAAAGGCGCGAGGAACGUGGCACCUUCGGGUGUGUUAUAGCCUCGCGUUCCGUAUGCGACGGUGGGGAUCGAGGAUCGCAGCGCGCCUCUAACGGUCGGGGUUUUCGCCCACGUAACGCGCUUGGGAUGCCGGCUUAAUGGCUUCAAGCGACCCGUCUUGAAACACGGACCAAGGAGUCUAACAUGCUCGCGAGUGUUCGGGUGGAAAACCCGCGCGCGUAAUGAAAGUGAAAGGUUGGGACCUUCUUUUUCGAAAGGGGGGCACCGACGCCCGGACUUGAGCUGCUGCGACGGUUCCGAGGCGGAGCGCGUAUGUUGGGACCCGAAAGAUGGUGAACUAUGCCUGAGUAGGGCGAAGCCAGAGGAAACU